AUCCACUAUAUAAAUCCUCAAUUACACAGCGCCCUCAUUGCCAAUGCCUCUCCCGAUUACAAUCCCGUCUUUCUUCUCUUCCAACCCUAAAUCUCUGUAAAAUUUUCUUCGUUUGAAAGCUGGUGAAGAAGAUCGCAGUGACGACUCCGUAAAAUUCAAGCUCAACAGACCGGAUUGCAGAGCUUUCCUCUUUCUAUUUGAGAGAGAGAAAGAUCUUUGCGUGUCGAAUACCCCGCUGAACUGAGCGAUCUCUUCACUCGGCAAUUUUCACGAAUUGGUUUCAUCUGUGGCCUAUUGGAAUACAAUAAAGUUAUUAAACAUAAUUGAGUUCUUGGUAAAUAACUAUGUGAAGACCAGUGCAUCUACACUUACAAAGUAGUUGAAUGGUUCCAAAUCGUUAUACCUUCUAUUAAACAUGGAUUUAAGGGAAA